ensembl:snoRNA Snora65 small nucleolar RNA, H/ACA box 65
CCCGCCACUGCACCUGACCAGUAUUAUUGGCUGGUGCAAUCCAGUGGUGAGCUGACAGUAAGCCCCAGCUUUUAGGAAACAGGGUUGUCCUACAUGUGGGUGACUCUGUGCCGAAAGCGUGGGGACAGCC